UUAGAACUGAGUUUUUGGGGAGCUCUAACUUAGCUUGUCAAAUGAAGAAAGCAUCCCUGAAGGAAGUGCUUUUUUUGCCUUUUGAAGGACAAAAAGGCAAAAUCAAGACGGGAAGAAUUCUAGAUAAAAAUAAUCCAGAAGAAGGGUCAGCAUGACUGGAGUGUAUGAAGGAUGGCACUGACUCAAGAGGUAGCUGGGCAAUGGCGCUGGGCAAAGGUUGUCUCAAGCCUUCUUCACGGCAGACAAAGAAUCUCUCUUUGUUCAGGACCGUAAGACCUUCUUUAUUCCCCCAGCUCCAUGUUGAGAACUGCCGAGACAGCUUUAAGAGCCUGUCUGUAGCAGCACCCUGAAUGUGUGUGCUGGGGCAGCGUGACCUAUGCAGAAAUCAAGUGGGAAAGGAAGAAUAUGGAAUGCUGCCCCAUAUUCUUGGCCCCACAAUGGCCACAGUGUCAUCUAUGGAAGGGCAGUAAAUUUCCCAUUUGCACUGAGCACAAAGCAGCGCUCAGAUGUCUCUGCCAUCUGAGCUGGACCUUCUCUUCCUCCUGGCCGCAGAAGUCAAGUAAGG
rnacentral:lncRNA from 1 species